UUCCGGUUGCUCAUGGAGGACCCGACUGCUAUCAGAGUGGGACUAGGCCAUGCUUGUCAACAUAGCAAUAUGUGGCAUACGGCUCAGUAACACGUAGUCAACAUGCCCAGGGGACGUGGAUAACCUCGGGAAACUGAGGAUAAACCGCGAUAGGUCAUCACUUCUGGAAUGGGUAAUGACUUAAAUCUAUAUGGCCCCUGGAUUGGACUGCGGCCGAUCAGGCUGUUGGUGAGGUAAUGGCCCACCAAACCUGUAACCGGUACGGGCUCUGAGAGGAGGAGCCCGGAGAUGGGCACUGAGACAAGGGCCCAGGCCCUAUGGGGCGCAGCAGGCGCGAAACCUCUGCAAUAGGCGAAAGCUUGACAGGGUUACUCUGAGUGAUUUCCGCUAAGGGAAUCUUUUGGCACCUCUAAAAAUGGUGCAGAAUAAGGGGUGGGCAAGUCUGGUGUCAGCCGCCGCGGUAAUACCAGCACCCCGAGUGGUCGGGACGAUUAUUGGGCCUAAAGCAUCCGUAGCCGGUCCUGCAAGUCUUCCGUUAAAUCCAGCUGCUCAACAGAUGGGCUGCAGGAGAUACUACAGGGCUAGGAGGCGGGAGAGGCAAGCGGUACUUUAUGGGUAGGGGUAAAAUCCGCUGAUCCAUAGAAGACCACCAGUGGCGAAGGCGGCUUGCCAGAACGCGCUCGACGGUGAGGGAUGAAAGCUGGGGGAGCAAACCGGAUUAGAUACCCGGGUAGUCCCAGCUGUAAACGAUGCAGACUCGGUGAUGGGUUGGCCUCGCGCCUGCCCAGUGCCGCAGGGAAGCCGUUAAGUCUUCCAAGUGGGGACUACGGUCGCAAGACUGAAACUGGGGCUUUGAAGGGGGGAGCA
rnacentral:rRNA from 1 species